rnacentral:rRNA from 1 species
GACGUAGGGCGCGAGCGUUGUCCGGAUUUAUUGGGCGUAAAGAGCUCGUAGGCGGCUUGUCGCGUCGUCCGUGAAAACUUGGGGCUCAACCCCCAAGCUUGCGGUCGAUACGGGCAGGCUAGAGUUCGGUAGGGGAGACUGGAAUUCCUGGUGUAGCGGUGAAAUGCGCAGAUAUCAGGAGGAACACCGAUGGCGAAGGCAGGUCUCUGGGCAUUAACUGACGCUGAGGAGCGAAAGCAUGGGGAGCGAACAGG